GAUGAACGCUGGCGGCGUGCCUAAUACAUGCAAGUCGAGCGAACAGACGGGGAGCUUGCUCCUCUGACGUUAGCGGCGGACGGGUGAGUAACACGUGGAUAACCUACCUAUAAGACUGGGAUAACUUCGGGAAACCGGAUCUAAUACCGGAUAAUAUAUUGAACCGCAUGGUUCAAUAGUGAAAGACGGUUUUGCUGUCACUUAUAGAUGGAUCCGCGCCGCAUUAGCUAGUUGGUAAGGUAACGGCUUACCAAGGCAACGAUGCGUAGCCGACCUGAGAGGGUGAUCGGCCACACGGGAGCUGAGACAGGGUCCAGACUCCUGCGGUGGGCCGCAGUCGGGAAUCUUACGCAAGGGGGGAGAGCCUGACGGAGCAAAGCGGGGUGAGUGAUGAAGGUCUUCGGAUCGUAAAACUCUGUUAUUAGGGGAGAACAAAUGUGUAAGUAACUGUGCACGUCUUGACGGUACCUAAUCAGAAAGCCACGGCUAACUACGUG
rnacentral:rRNA from 1 species